AUUAGCAAUAUAGAAUAAAUUUUAUAAUUUGUUUUCUACUAUCUGCCGAAGAAACGCGCUUACCACUUUACCAGUUCAUUUUUCUUUUAUCAUAUAGCCAGUUAUAUCAUGUAGAUCGUUGACACCAUGCAAACUUUCUGAUUUCAAACACAAAGACAACAAUAGUGGCAAGUUGUUGCAGUGGUCAACAUAUCGAUGUCCUUCUUGCAUUCGAUUUGGCAGCAGAGUUUUCUAUAACAGCACUGUGACAUUGGAUUUGGCAGAAUGUGAGAUUAACUCACAGUAUAUAGCUUCAGGUUUGGGCCUACUUGCUUUGUGCACCGGCGGUUGGGCAAAGAACUUCGCCCAUGGACAAGCACCAAACAUGGACUCCCACCGGCAUGCACAGGUAUUUUACAACUGAUAAACCAUCAAGUUCCUGGAGGAGUGGUGCUGGCUACAUAUCAAAGGACGUGCUUUAGAAGGGUUUGCCAGGCCUACAGGAGGAUUCCCUUACUCUUUAUGAUUAAGUUUCUGAAAUUUCUGUUUCAGAGUUUUAUUAAACAUGGCGUGUGUAACCUUAGUGUUUACAUUCAUGAUUUUUUAAUUGCUGACUCUAGCAUCGUUAAUUUAUUAUCAGUGAAGGAUACAUUGACAGCAGCAAUUACGUCACUGUUUGUUCAGAAUUCCUCCAAGUAACUGACAUCACCUCUUCUAUUCUGAGGAAGUGCUUGAAUUACCAUAUGCUGCAUGGUGGAUGUGGUAGAAGAAGCGUACACCCCUGUGUAUGCAGCGGAUAGAUGCGUAGGAGCCACCAGCAAUUGACCUCGGAGAUUGAUUGCAAUAGUGUGCUCAGGCUGGACAA